rnacentral:rRNA from 1 species
CAGUAGCCGCGGGAAUACGAAGGGGGCUAGCGUUGUUCGGAUUUACUGGGCGUAAAGGGCGCGUAGGCGGACUGAUAAGUCAGGGGUGAAAUCCCAAGGCUCAACCUUGGAACUGCCUUUGAUACUGUUUGUCUUGAGUUCGAGAGAGGUAAGUGGAACUGCGAGUGUAGAGGUGAAAUUCGUAGAUAUUCGCAAGAACACCAGUGGCGAAGGCGACUCUCUGGUCUGUAACUGACGCUGAGGAGCGAAAGCGUGGGGAGCGAACAGGAUUAGAUACCCCCGUAGUCCCUGUCUCUUAUAC